UUGCAACAAAGGGAGCAGAGGGUCUGAACAGCAAAGAUCAGGAGAUAUUUUCAUUUCACAGACUGGACACAGUAUUUCUCAAAGGGGACCCUGCUGGCUUUUGGACUGAGAUCAUCCUUGGUUUUGUAGGAUCAUCCUUCAUUGCAGGAUACUUGGCCUCCCCGGCUCUUCCUUAUGCAGCACCUACCCUCAAGGUUCUUUUACACUCAACCCCCAGCACCUAGUACUCAUGUCAGCCUGCAAGAUGCACACCGAACACGCUCCUACCUGCCGACUCAAUGCCCUCUCCAGGUGACUGUUGGACAGACAAUUUCUGCAUGCUAGACUGACUGUCCAGCUAAUUGGAUGGGCAGCUGGACUGCCUGCUUACCUAACCGAUAGAAGACACAAGCCUUUCCGGAACAAGUAUUCCCUGAAACCGAGCACAGAUCUGUGUCAGCCACACUCGCUGGGGUCACAGACCCUCCACCAUCUCAUACAGGGGGUUCUCGCUUGCCUCGAUUCUCUUCCUUUGGGAAUUCUCUGCCACCACCUUUGAGGGACAGAGGCCAUUGGCCCUGGCUCUAAGACCCCAGACCUCCUCCAGUUAAGCCCACACCCCAAGAGCCCAUCUCCACCCCUGACUCAGCAACUAGAAGCUCCUCAAUUCUGCCUGCCUUUAAACUGAUCUCACAGAUGUGUCAGAAUGAGUCAUGCCCCCCACCCCCGACCAGUGCCUUCCCUGCAGGUAUAAACACACAGGAGCAGCUCUUUCCCACACCUUACCUGAGCAAUAUCAGACUCCCCCACCCUGAUUCAAAUUUGGCUGACUUGGCCUGUGUGCAAUCAAAAGCACUCUCCUACCCAUCCUCCCUUCUCCUGGACUCUUCAAACCCUGGCCUUCCUACACACAGGGUAACAUCCAUCUAUCCUUCUAUCCAUCCAGUCAUCCAUCCAUUAAUAGCUCUUCACCAUCUAUCCGUUUACCCAUCUACCUGUCCGGCCCACACUCCAUCCAUCCAUGUACUAAGUUAUUCGCCCAAAAUUCAGAGCUUAUUCAGUAGGUUAAUAAUGAGGCCACACCUGGCUAGUGUCCAUUACUCUCACUCAACUAGACCCCUUAUUAAAAGACUUCAAAGUCGACUUUCUCAAAUUGUAUCCCCUAGAACCUACUUCUUCCACUCAUCCCACAUGUGUUUAUUAAGCACCUAUUCUGUGCCAGACACUGUACUAGCUUCUGUGGAUACAAUGAUAAAGAAUGUGGUGCCUGCUUACCCAAGGCUAGUGUGUUGCUGAGGACAAACCACUGAAACAAAAAGUUGGUACAUUUGGAACAGUGAUGAGCAAAGCAUGCCAAUGGAGAAUCAGGUGACAGCAAUACUAGCCUCUCCACAGGGCUCACCACAUCUGGCACUGCUCUGAGCCCAGUGCUUAAAUUACCGCACCUGGUCAGAAGGGGGACACCUACUCCAGGGGGAGGGGUGUCCUGACAAAGGGAAGAGUCUGUGCAAAGGCAAGGGCACAGUGACUGAAGCAUAGGAGACAAAUGAAGGAGUGGCAAAAGAGGAGACUGACAAGGAGGCAGUGUCACAGUCAUGCGCUGUGUUGGGACCCAGGGUUUCAGCCACUGUGCAAGACAGAGAGCCCCAGCCUCACUGAGCUUAUAGUCCAGUCUUAGAGCAGUGACAGGAUCAGAGCACAUCAGAAUCUCCUGAGGACAGUUUGCAGAAGCCUCUGGAUGAUUCUGAAGUGUAUCCUUCACCCAGGGUGGAGAUUAUUGUAUCCAAUGGCCUCAAAAUUCACUUCUAACUUUAACAUUCUAUAAAAGGGGCAGUUAGAAAAAGGAACCAAAUCAACCUGCCUCAAACAAAUCUGAGGUGCUAACCUUGGUCUUGGAGCCCAGUCGGGGGCAUCAGACACUGCGGGGUUCCCUUCCUGCCCCCAUCAUGAUGGGUAACAGGGGUGUCGUGGUAUAUCACCAGACCUCCCCUGCAUGAUAGAGACACUCAUUCCCACAGUGGAUGACAGCUCAGAGCUGAGUCUCUGUUCAGCACUGCCCUCUGAGGAAGGGACCUGCAUCCCCUAAGCUUAUACCCCAGGGCAGCCUGCAUCCAGUGACUGAUGGAGGGACAUAGAGAUUUUGGCUCCCCAGCCUCAAACAGGAAUCUCUUGGAAAGGUCCAGAGCUCCCCAUGAGAUCAGCUGAGAUCUCUGUACAACUGAUCACAGUUCAGCCUCCCCCUUAGCCCAAAGCCUCAGAAGUGCUGAUACCAAGUGCCCUUCCCAAUAAUCUUGCAUGCAAAGUUCUGUCUCAGAAUCUUUUUCACUUGGAAAACUCACCUAAGACAAUGGGCCAUGUUGAGUUGGACCCUAGGAGGGAUCUGCCUUGACAAGACUACCCAGUCAUCCACCCUCCCAUCUAAACUCCUGUUCCGACUUGACAGUCCCACCAAGGAGACUUGCUCUCCAUUCUUUUAACAUCAUUCAUUCUUGCAGUAUCUCUAUAUUCCAGGAAAGUGAAAGUGUUAGUCACUCAGUUGUGUCCAAUUCUUUGCGACCCCAUGGACUGUAGCCCACCAGGCUCCUAUGUCCAUGGAUUUCUCCAGGCAAGAAUACUGGCGCCACUACCAAAUCUCUCCUACCUUAAAAUGAUUAUAAACGUGGUUAUCUUGGCCUGGAGCUCCAUCACCAUCACCCACUACCCUUUGCUCUGUACUCUGUUCCUUAAAACAAACAAACAAAAUUGUUUCCUCUUCCAGGAAGCCUCCCUUGACUUCCCCCGAGUUUGAUGAAUUUAGAAUCCUGGAGCACUUGAACUUCCAGCUGUUGUUAGUUUGGAAAGUUUUGUGUGUUUAUAGAUGGAUAUUUAAAACCAUGUUUUGGGUUCUUUGAAGUCUAUAUUUGUGCAUUCUCUGCCCUCAGGAAUGUGUGUUCUGUUUCUCCAGUAAAAGAGGGGGUGGAGAUCCCCCAAGAUCAAGGGAGUCUUUCAUCUGUGCCUCCCCCUGCCUCUGCUUGGCAACCACUCGGCUGCCCAGAGGAGUGACCAGGGUCGUCUGAUGACCCAACAACUCAACAGGAAAUGGAAGUAGGAGCACAACCUACUUUUAGCCCUUUUUCCCAUCGAAGACCUGAGUGCACAGUCUCUCCAGAACCUCUGGGGGCAGGCAGGACAGCCAUCAUUAUGUCCAUUGAUAAAUGAAGAUCCUGAGACCAGAGAGGUGAGGUGACUUGCCCAAGGGCACCCAGUCCUCAAGCAGCAGUGUUCUAGGCCAGACCCCAGGCCGCUCUCCUCCCAGCCCGGGGCUCCUCCUGCCACACUCUGCAGGGAGGAGCAGCCCAGUGCUGGUGAGAUUGGCGAUGUCCUGGGAGCUUAGGAAUCUGGUCUGCAGUGGAGCAGUGUGCUACUGGUAGGCAGGGGGGCCCACAUCCACCCGAGGACAGGGAGACGCUGUCAGAUGCUUGCUGGGGCACCCCAACUGCUACCCCUUUUCCAAAUGGCCUUGUGCAAAGAACCCUUUCAGGAGACCCAGGCACCAAGGAGACCUGGGGAGCCACAGCUGAGGCAGGAACCUGCAGAGUCAUUCAAGGACAUGGUCAGAGGCUGAACCCAUCUGCAGGAAACAAGGGUGUACCAAACACACAGGACUUCACCGCCCCACUCAGCAAAGGCUCUCGUCUCCCCUGACCCCGCCCAGACCCUGAGGAGUAGACACAGGGGCACUGAGUGUUCACAAGGGUCACAACAUCAUUGGAGGCAAGACCCCUGAACCUCGCUGAGCUAUAAAAAGAAUGCUCUAUCAGGACCAUUCUCUUGUGGGCCUGCAAGCGGGUGGGCAUCGGCACUGGCUUGUGGAGGAGCCCUGAGAGCUCAUGGCCCCAACCCCGCUGCCGUGAAGACCACUGAGACAGCUCUGUGACCAGCUUUGAGCUUGAGGAAAGGAGGGGCAGAAGCAGGGCUUAAUAAUAAUAAUAGUGAACCCUUAGAUAGUUCUGAGCCCAUGCCAGACUCUGCCUUAACAUUUUACAUAGAGCGGUAACUCGGUGAGCCUCACAGUAGCUCCAGGAGGCAGCUAUUAUUAUCAUCCUUGUACCAGUGAGGAGACAGAUGGAGGAGGGUGGUGGGAUCAGUUGUCUAAGAUGACCAGCUAGAAGUGGUAACAGAUCUGCUGGUUUAGCCACCGUGUGAUAUCACCUCUUCUAGUGUUCUUGCCCUAAACAUCAGUUCCUGGCCCACAGAAUUGACCAGAAAGGGACACGCCCUAUACGCAGCCCCCCUCACCGGCCACGCACACACAUGCUUUGGGAUGCGAUCCGACUGUAGUGCCCUGGCCGGAAGCCAAGGCAGCAGAAGCUCCU